UCUGUUCUGUUUUGUUUGAUUAAUAGUUGUCUGUUAAACUAUAAAGCAUUUUUUUAAUAAUCUAAAUUGGUUAGAUGUAAAAUUCAAAAAUAAUGUAUGUGUUGGUUUUAAAUGUAGGUUUCUGUAUGUUUAAUACUUGAAUUCAACAAAGAUGAGUGGUUGUGAUAAAACAGAGGAAGAUCAAUUCUUUGACAGCCACGAUGAGAUCAUUUCUAUGUCCAACUUGGGUUUUGAAUGCCUUGAGUUCUGUUCGAGUUCUCAUGCUUUUCGGUAAAGCUUCGCCACAAUGUCUCAAGAAGGGGUUUAUAGUGUUCAGCACUGGCUAAUCAUGUGGAUGAGGAUAAUGAGCUACAUAAUAUAGAAGACGAGAGUGGUAGAUAUCCUAUCAAGGAGACUGGAUUACAUGAUGGAAGUAAAGAUACUAAUUGUGGCCAUGAUCAACUUGAAGAGACUGUGUAGAACUUAGUUUCACAAUGAAUAUUUAAAGUAUCAGUUUGUGGAUAUAAAGAAAGAUACUUGAUUCUGGCGAGCCUGGAAAACGAAAUAAAGCUGUGGAGCUAGACCAUUUGGCGUCCAAUAAUGAUGUCAGAGAGCUUCAUGAAAAAUUAGAAUCUUCGAAAAGAGAACUUCUAGAGGAAAGACAAACUCAGGGUGUUGUAGAGGAACCUCUAAAACAUCUUGGAGCAGCACACUCAGAGGCAUAUACAAAUGUUCAAGAGCUUUCUACCUAAGUUGCUAAAGCUCAACAGAAGAUGGACCACGAAAGAAAAGAUCGUGAUAA